rnacentral:rRNA from 1 species
UUACGCACUCCUACGGGAGGCAGCAGUAGGGAAUCUUCCACAAUGGACGCAAGUCUGAUGGAGCAACGCCGCGUGAGUGAAGAAGGGUUUCGGCUCGUAAAGCUCUGUUGUUAAAGAAGAACGUGGGUGAGAGUAACUGUUCACCCAGUGACGGUAUUUAACCAGAAAGCCACGGCUAACUACGUGCCAGCAGCCGCGGUAAUACGUAGGUGGCAAGCGUUAUCCGGAUUUAUUGGGCGUAAAGCGAGCGCAGGCGGUCUUUUAAGUCUAAUGUGAAAGCCUUCGGCUCAACCGAAGAAGUGCAUUGGAAACUGGGAGACUUGAGUGCAGAAGAGGACAGUGGAACUCCAUGUGUAGCGGUGAAAUGCGUAGAUAUAUGGAAGAACACCAGUGGCGAAGGCGGCUGUCUGGUCUGUAACUGACGCUGAGGCUCGAAAGCAUGGGUAGCGAACAGGAUUAGAUACCCUGGUAG